GUUAGACCGGCCGAUAGGCAUCGCCUACUGUUUUAAUGUCUUUGUGCAACAUCGUAGCACUGCGUUGGGACAAGAUGAGCAGCAAUGGUGUGACUGAAGACGACGAUUUUGCUGAUUAUCCGUUUCGAUUGCGUAUACAUACAUGAAAUCUCGUCGACAGUUUGCGAUCAUCACUCAGUAGUCGGUGCUCACCAUCAAGAUUAACAGAAUUCCUAUUGUACAUUCGACGGAAAGCUAAGGAUUAAUCAUAUAAUAUAAUAAUAUAUAAUCAUGUUAUUAUUAAUAACUAAAUCAGGGGUCAAGUCAUACAAGAUUGAAACCAUUUUUGGCGUAAUAUAAUGUAUAUAUUAUUAUUAUCUAUAAAGCUUCAACAACGAUAGUUAUAUGCCUAAUUUAAGAUUAUAUUAUAUAGGUACAGGUUGUAAGUAAAACAUUAACAAUUUUUGACUUACGUUUAUAAAUUAUAUAUUAUUGAAAAAAUAAAUAUA